UUUGACUCCGUGGCUACAGAACGAACGCUGGCGGCAUGCCUAACACAUGCAAGUCGAACGAAGCCUUCGGGCUUAGUGGCGCACGGGUGCGUAACGCGUGGGAAUCUGCCCUUGGGUUCGGAAUAACAGUUAGAAAUGACUGCUAAUACCGAAUGAUGUCUUCGGACCAAAGAUUUAUCGCCCAAGGAUGAGCCCGCGUCGGAUUAGCUAGUUGGUGAGGUAAAGGCUCACCAAGGCGACGAUCCGUAGCUGGUCUGAGAGGAUGAUCAGCCACACUGGGACUGAGACACGGCCCAGACUCCUACGGGAGGCAGCAGUGGGGAAUAUUGGACAAUGGGCGAAAGCCUGAUCCAGCAAUGCCGCGUGAGUGAUGAAGGCCUUAGGGUUGUAAAGCUCUUUUACCCGGGAUGAUAAUGACAGUACCGGGAGAAUAAGCCCCGGCUAACUCCGUG
rnacentral:rRNA from 1 species